rnacentral:rRNA from 1 species
UACGAAGGGGGCUAGCGUUGCUCGGAAUUACUGGGCGUAAAGGGCGCGUAGGCGGCACUGUUAGUCAGGCGUGAAAGUCCUGGGCUCAACCUGGGAACUGCGCUUGAUACGGCAGAGCUAGAGGAUGGAAGAGGGUCGCGGAAUUCCCAGUGUAGAGGUGAAAUUCGUAGAUAUUGGGAAGAACACCGGUGGCGAAGGCGGGUCUCUGGGCCGAUACUGACGCUGAGGAGCGAAAGCGUGGGGAGCGAACAGG